rnacentral:pre_miRNA from 1 species
AGUUAACUACCGUCGGUAGUUAACUGCAGCCGAUUUUUUCAAACUUCGACAGUUAACUGCCGAAGGACAU